rnacentral:rRNA from 1 species
CCUACGGGUGGCAGCAGUGGGGAAUAUUGCACAAUGGGCGAAACCCUGAUGCAGCGACGCCGCGUGAGUGAAGAAGUAUCUCGGUACGUAAAGCUCUAUCAGCAGGGAAGAAAAUGACGGUACCUGACUAAGCAGCCCCUGCUAACUACGUGCCAGCAGCCGCGGUCAUACUUAGGGGGCAAGCGUUAUCCGGAUGUACUGGGUGUAACGGGAGCGGAGACGGCAGUACAAGUCUGGAGUGAAAUCCCUGGGCUUAACCCCGGAACGGCUUUGGAAACUGGGCGGCUGGAGUGCAGGAGGGGUAAGCGGAAUUCCUGGUGUAGCGGUGAAAUGCGUAGAUAUUAGGAGGAACACCGGUGGCGAAGGCGGCUUACUGGACUGUAACUGACGUUGAGGCUCGAAAGCGUGGGGAGCAAACAGGAUUAGAUACCCGGGUAGUC